GCACUGUCUGAAGAGAAAACCACUGAGGAAUAUAUAAGAGACCAAAGUUCUGCUCCAACAAGAAUACCAGAAAACCGGGUUGGUUGAAGGUUAAGGUUUCCUGAAUAUAGCCCGCCCCUCACUGGUAGGUUCUAAGAACAAAAGUUCGUCAGCUUCUAAUCCUUUAGUCGAAUAAUACAUUUACCACUGAAGGUUUGGCAUUAUUACGAGACAAAAG
rnacentral:lncRNA from 1 species